rnacentral:rRNA from 1 species
CCUACGGGAGGCAGCAGUGGGGAAUAUUGGACAAUGGGCGCAAGCCUGAUCCAGCAAUGCCGCGUGAGUGAUGAAGGCCUUAGGGUCGUAAAGCUCUUUUACCAGGGAUGAUAAUGACAGUACCUGGAGAAUAAGCUCCGGCUAACUCCGUGCCAGCAGCCGCGGUAAUACGGAGGGAGCUAGCGUUGUUCGGAAUUACUGGGCGUAAAGCGUACGUAGGCGGUUAUUCAAGUCAGAGGUGAAAGCCCGGGGCUCAACCCCGGAACGGCCUUUGAAACUAGGUAGCUAGAAUCUUGGAGAGGUCAGUGGAAUUCCGAGUGUAGAGGUGAAAUUCGUAGAUAUUCGGAAGAACACCAGUGGCGAAGGCGACUGACUGGACAAGUAUUGACGCUGAGGUACGAAAGCGUGGGGAGCAAACAGGAUUAGAUACCCUGGUAGUCCACGCCGUAAACGAUGAUAACUAGCUGUCCGGGCACUUGGUGCCUGGGUGGCGCAGCUAACGCAUUAAGUUAUCCGCCUGGGGAGUACGGUCGCAAGAUUAAAACUCAAAGAUAGUACGGACGUGAGACGAGUCGACGAGACACAGGAGUAGGAG